UACGGAGGGUGCGAGCGUUGUCCGGAAUCACUGGGCGUAAAGGGCGCGUAGGCGGCGCGGAUAGUCGGCGGUGAAAGCCCGGAGCUCAACUCCGGGUCGGCCGUCGAUACUUCCGGGCUUGAGCACUGUAGAGGCAGAUGGAAUUCCGGGUGUAGCGGUGGAAUGCGUAGAGAUCCGGAAGAACACCGGUGGCGAAGGCGGUCUGCUGGGCAGUUGCUGACGCUGAUGCGCGACAGCGUGGGGAGCAAACGAGGAUUAGAAACCCGUG
rnacentral:rRNA from 1 species